rnacentral:rRNA from 1 species
UACGUAGGGUGCGAGCGUUACUCGGAAUUACUGGGCGUAAAGCGUGCGCAGGCGGUUUUGCAAGCCGGAUGUGAAAUUCCCGGGCUUAACCUGGGAAUGGCAUUUGGGACUGCAAGGCUGGAGUGCGGCAGAGGAGACUGGAAUUCCUGGUGUAGCAGUGAAAUGCGUAGAUAUCAGGAGGAACACCGAUGGCGAAGGCAGGUCUCUGGGCUGACACUGACGCUCAUGCACGAAAGCGUGGGGAGCAAACAGG